AACGCGCAACAAGAUCGGUCAGGACAGUCAAGACUUUAUUAAAGAGCACUAUUACAACAAUUGUUGGGAACAAUCCAACCCAUCUGCUCCUUAUAUACCGAGUUCCCUUUUGAUGUGCAGCUCCUUCCCGCAGGCACGCGAUGGUUACAUGGUCCUAUAACAAUCAUGGAUCGAUCACCACUGGAAGCCGCACGUUAACAAAUACAUUUCAAUCACACCCAGUGGGAGACAGAGUCUGAAGAAGGGUCUUGACCCGAAAUGUCACCCUUUCCUUCUGGAUGUUUUCAAGGGAGAGUUGGAUAUAGUUCUUAGGGCUAAUGGAAUCAAGUGAUGUGAAAAAAAAGCAGGAACUGGGGUACUGAUUUUGGAUGAUCAGCCAUGAUCACAUUGAAUGGUGGUGCUGGCUCCAAGGGCCGAAUGGCACCUGUUUUCUAUGUUUAUCUGCAGUGAUGCUGCCUGGUUCCGCUGAGUUACACGAACGUUUUGUGUCCAUCUUUGGGGAGACCGCGAGAUGUCUUGUUACCUGUUAGAUCUCAUUUUAUUGUAAUUGCCAUCUGUUCUUUCACAACUACCUUACGACAAGUUUCUCUCCCAGGGAAGGGGUAUCAACAAACGGAGGGCACAGGUUUAAGGCGAGGGGAAUGGUUUAACAGAUACCUGGCUGGCAACCUUUCCUUACUUUUCCUUACUGUAAUGGGGUGACCAGAACUGCACACAAUACCCCAAAUGUGGCCAAACCAAAUUCCUGUGAAGCUGCAGGGAGAAAGAUUUACAGCUAUUGGACAAACUUUGAUGGUGGGUGUAUGGAACGAGCUUCCAGAGUUGGUAGUUGACGCUGGUGCUAUAACUGCAUUUAAAAUAAUUUGCAUUGGCACACGUUCAGGAAAAGUUUAGAGGGAUAGCGGGCAGUUGGGACUAGCGAAGAUGAGGCAUCUUGGUUGGCAUGGACGAGUUGGGCCGAAGGGCCUGAUUCUGUGCUGAAUGACUUAUGGGACUGAUCCACUUUAAGGGACCAGUGAAGGUAGUAGUUCCAACGGCUCCAGGGGACCGGGUUUCCAUCCUGACCUUGUGCUGUCUGUGUGGAGCUUGCAUGUGUCUCCCUGUCACUACGGGGGUUUCCCCUGGGUGCUCAACUUCCCCCCCCCCCCCCGUGCAGGUGGGUGCCAGGAGAAGUGGCAAAUGAUGCAAACAUCUACAGGUGUACGGUAGAGAGGACAUACACUGGUCACAUCACGGCCUGGUUCAGUAACUCGAAUGCCCAGGAGCGAAGGAGACCACAGAGAGUGGUGGACAAUGGGCCAUCACAGGUACUGACCAUCAAAGGGAUCUACACGAAGUGCUGUCUCACAAAGACAUCUAGCAUCAUCAAAGACCCACACCACCCUGGCCACGCUCGCUGCUACCAUCGGGAAGAAGGUACAGGAGCCUGAAAACCGCGACCUCCAGGUUCAAGAACAGCUUCUUCCCAGCAACCAUUAGGCUCUUGAACACUGCACAACACUAACCUCAGCAACUGCGAUCGUUUACAGACUGUCUCUGGUUGCACUAUGGACAUUGGUUUCGAACUAUUAUGGUUACCUAAUAUCACUGUUAUUAAUUUAUUGUAUUGAUAAUUAUAAUAUUUAUCUGUGUUGUGUUAACGGGCCAGUUAAGCUGCAGCAAGUAAGGAUUUCAUUGUUCAGUUGGUACAUAAGACAAUUAAACACUUGAACGUGUGAGAGAGAGUCGGUUAUAGGGGUAAACUCAUGAGACAGCGUGUCGGACGGAACUGCAGAUACUGGUUUAUACCGAAGAUAGACACAAAGUGCUGGAGUAACGCAGCGGGUCAGGCAGCAUCUCUGGAGAUAAGGGAUGGGUGACGUUUCAGGUCGGGGGGAGUGCAAGUGGGAAAAGACCAGAUCAAAUCAUGCCGGCAAUAGAUGAACAAGGGAGGAUGGAGCCCACAAUGGUCCAUUGUUGGCUGUGGAAGAGGUGAUAACGAAGGGAUACAGGAAUGUGAACCGUAGAACUGGUGGGGUGGGGGGACGACGACUAGGAUGAGGGAGGAAUUGCUGGAUGACUAGGGUGGGACUGCGAGGGGAAAUGAGUGCUACGAACGCUAGUGUAGGUUUGAUCAUAGAAUUUAACUAAACUAGACUCAGGCAUCAUUCAUUGGUCUGCUGUGAAUCGCACGGUGGGCAAAGUGCCCACUAGGUGGCACAUUAGUACAACACGGCCACAGCCAGAUAUAGCGGCUGUUGGGCUACGUGUGAGUGACGUGCUGUGAGCAGAUUGGCAUUGUUACAAUAGCACCCUUAUUCCCACACAGUUGCUGCAGUGGGACAUUAUCUGCAUGCCAUUUCAGACCUGCCAGGAAUUGCAGCCACAUCCAUCAAGAUGCCUUCAGCUGGACGAUGUUUUAAUUAGAAACAAGGAACUGCAGGUGCUGGUUUACGGGGCGGCGGCAAAAGGUCCAGGAGUAACUUAGGGGGUCAGGCAGCAUCUCUGGAGAGAAGGGAUAGAUGACCGUGUGUAGGAAGGCACUGCAGAUGCUGGUUCAUACCAAACGAAGAUGGACACAAAGUGCUGGAGUAACUGCGGGUCAGGCAGCAUCUCUGGAGCAAAGGGAUGGGUGGGGUUUCGGGUCGGAGCUUUUCUUCAGCCUGAAAGUGGAGGGGGGAUCUGGGGUGAGGAAAAGGCCAGAACACAUCAUGCUCGAGGCCCACUUUUUGGUCUUUCAUUGGACUUUGUCCCGCAAUCUGCCGAUUAAAACCCCUCUCCUGUAUCCACCACUUAUUCACCUGGCUUUGCCUUGACCUCUCUUACAGUUUCACCCCCACCAUCCUUUACUCCAUCUCUUUACUUCACUCCCUCUCUUUACUCCAUCUGUCUGAAGAAGGGUCCCGACUCGAAACGUUACCUGUCCAUGUUCUCCAGAGAUGCUGCCUGACCCGCUGAGUUUCUCCAGCACGUUGUGUCUGUCUGGUAUAAACCAGCAUUUCCCAGUUCCUUCCUACACACGGAGCAGAGAAUGAGAUGGCAUUUUGUGUCGGUGAUAUUUUUAAUUAGCCUGCAAUCAUCAUGGGUCAAAUCAAGUUGAGACAAUCGUCCUAUGCACCUGUAUUCCCACUUUUCUCAACAACUUUAUUGACCAAAAAUCUCAAGUCACAUGUUUAAAAUUGGCAAUGGUAUGGUGAGGUACAGGUACAAUGAAAAUACUGCUUGCAGCGGCAUCACAGGCACAUGGACCUAGGCAACACAGACAUAAAUCAUACAUAUAUUACAGGUCCAUCACCAAUUUUCCGUCAACUGAUGGUCCGGCAUCCUUUAAGCCGGACAAAAUUAUGAGAAUGCUCUUGAAAUCCCCCCGAAAAUGUGGCGCCCAGGCCGACCUCGUCCUCAUCGGGACUUCCACGCUGGGCAACAAGUUGAAUUUGCUCCCUGCGGCCGGGGCUGUGGAACUCCAGCCUGGCCGGAGUCGGCAGAUUCGUUCCCAUAGAUGACUUCCGAGGCCAAUUUUGCAUGCCGGUAUCUCGGUCCCCCCAGCAGCCUAGGCUGUUCGGCACCGUUUGACUCCUGUCGGAAGCCGUGAACUCCGUGAUGUCUGACUUCAGGCAGCGAGAAGAAGCAUGGCCCGGAUUGUGAAGAUCCUUGAUGGCAGAUGCUGCCUUCUUGGGGCAGUGCCUGGCGUAGAUGCUUUCAACAGUGGGGUGGACCGGGCUGUGUCCACCUGCUGCCUCCUGUGUUCCUGUGCGUUGGAAUUGCCAUACCAGGCCAAGUUUGGAACUGCACAAACAGCACCUGUUGCUAAUCGUAACACUGAGACUUGGGGGUAAUAACGUUAUUGAGGGACAUUGGGAAAAGUGGGAGUGUGCAGCGAGGUACAGGCGGGGCUGACGAACCAGGUUCAAGCGUCUUCUUUUGUACCAAUCAGUAAAGACAUUGAAAACGUGAUGAGCGGCCAGAUUCCCCAGCUGAUUCAGAUCGAUGCUUAACAACGGCCUACAGGUCACCCAGGGAAAUGCAAUGGUUUUUGCAACAGUCUCAUUGAUUGUGUUCAUCUUCUUUUGGCCACAUCAGCUGGGUACGUGUGUUUGUUCGAGUAUAUGUUCGUUUGAGUGUGUGUUCACGAGAGUGUGUUUAUAGGUGUGCUUAUCUGUUCGUCUUUGUGUAUGGUUAUAUAUGUGAGACUUGUUUGUAUAUCUAUGUGUGACUGUUUCUUUUGUAUAUAUGUAUGUGUGCGUUUUUAUUGUAUUGUGUGUGUGCGCGCACAUUUUCACAUAUUACGUUUCUGUGUUUAUAUGCAUGUGUGUUUUGAUGAAUUAUAUGUGUGCAGUAAUUAUAAAUAAAUUUGUAUUUUUAGUUA